GAAUGAAAGAGAUCUUUGGUUUUGCCUUUGCUGACUGCUGAUCCGAUCAUCUCAAGUCUGGAGACCUGCUGCAGAAAACCCUCUCCCUCUAUCGUUGACAAGCCAUUAACAAGCAAUUUCAGUCUGUCCUAUCACUCUCCCUCUCCCUGCUCCAUCUUUUUUGACAAGCCAUUCUAUCUUCUGUCAUUUCUCCGCCAUGAGCUCUAUCUAAUUUUGACAAGCUUAAACCUGUGUUGACAAGAAAUCUAAGUUUGACAAGAAACCAAGUUUGACAAGAAACCAAGGUUGUCAAGAAACCAAGUUUUUGGAAUUGAAGUUACCAGAACUUCGUCGAUCUGUUUUCAGAAUUCUGAGAGAUCUCUGCUCUCACUGCUCCUUCUUUCCUGUUGUUAAACUCUCUCAUAUCCACUAGUUUUGCUGGAAAUUGCAAGUAGAAAGUUGAAUAUACAGUAGUAGAAUUACAGUACAGUAGAUUUUACAGUACAAACUACUUACACAGCCCCACAUUUAUAGGUUUGACUUGGCAUUACACUGAUAGUUUGCCUUACAGGUGCAAUUACUUUGAUAAAUUAUAUAAAAUAUACACAUUUAUAAAGGCUUAUCUGUAAUGAGAUAAUUGGUUAUUUUGUAAUACAUACAUUCGGACUGCUGUAUUCACAUAAAUAUUAAAUCAGAUCCGAAUACAUUUUUCAAGUCUGUUUCAUUGACUAUAACAUUUGACUACAGUAAGUUAUAUAUAAAUACUAUUGUUAUUCAAACCCAUUUCUAUUACUCAGUGUAAGUGUUCAGUCACAAUUGUCAUCGAGAAGCUGCCCUGAGGUCCCAGACUUCCUGUUUCCUGACUGCUGCAGAACAUCCAGCUGAAGAAUCCUCAUCGCCUGUCAUCUGAUCACCGCACCACCACAGCUCCAUAUAGUUGAUUUAAGUUUUAGAUAUCUGAAAGAUUUACAUAAACUCUAUUUAAGAGCCAGAAGUUUUAUUAUAUCCUGUUGAUUGUUGUGAUUUCUAAAUAUCCCGUUACAGAAGUAUAGAUCUAAUCAUUAACCAGUCUGGUUAAAAAAAUAUACAUU